UACGUAGGGUGCAAGCGUUGUCCGGAAUUAUUGGGCGUAAAGAGCUCGUAGGCGGCGCGGGAAGUCAUCGGUGAAAGUUCAGGGCUCAACUCUGAAUCGGCCGGUGAUACUCUCGUGCUCGAGCACUGUAGAGGCAGGUGGAAUUCCGGGUGUAGCGGUGGAAUGCGUAGAGAUCCGGAAGAACACCGGUGGCGAAGGCGGCCUGCUGGGCAGUAGCUGACGCUGAUGCGCGACAGCGUGGGGAGCAAACAGG
rnacentral:rRNA from 1 species